CUAAAGCCGUGGCAUUCUUUCAGCCAGAUGUUUUCCCCCGUCAUCAGCUAAAAGUAAGAGUACGAACAUCCUGCGCUAUCAGAACUCAGGGAUGACCAACUAGCUGGAAGCAACUAUUUGAGCCAUGAAUCGAUUCGACCAAGGUCCUCCGGAAACGAAAACAACUUCACGAUCCCCGCUGCUAAUGACCUUUUCCUUUUUCCCACGGUGAACGGUGUCCUCUACUGUGCAACGUUUGAAACCCGGUCAACUGGCUCAAGAUGUUCAACUUCUCACCCAUAUACCAGCCAUCCGCAUCGGUAGCCCAUCUCCGUGGAUCAAGUUUACGACACAUCUGUCAUGUACAUCACCUCGACACCUUACAACACAGCAACAAAAGACAAUCAAGUCUGUAUGGACUUCAACGUCUACAUACAAAUCAGUAAAAGUGCAUUGUCCUUACUCCGCGUUUCAUAGUGCAUUUUACUGAACCCGGAUAGACGAUGCAAGAAAGCGACUAUUAUGGGGUUUUGAAGAAAGCCAUCAAGAUCAGGAAAAAAAACAUUUGCCGUUACUAUGAACUGCAUCACCGUUGUCAGGAGGAACUCGGACGAUAUAAAUAAGGAAACUCUGGUACGCGUAUAGGCUAAUGGAACUUCGGUCAGCAAUGUAUAUGAAUUCCAUGGAAGAUUCGGAACAGGAAAAGAAGCCAGGUGUACUUUGACCCGCAGCUAAGCCGGAAAAGACGUUAAGUUAAAGUUGGCCUCCGAGAAUCCGAGCACAAGGUGAACAUCAAAAAGAGCAUACGAUUUGCCUGCACUGUCGCUGAGCAAAAGGGGCAUACGGAAUAGAGUGACCGGUAGACAUGGCUUAUCACAGAAAGCAAUUUCUCAGUUAAGAUCAGAACUUUGUGUAGUAAGGCAUUUGUCGCUAAUCAUCUAACUUCGGCAAAGAGAGCAUUAAGAACCAUAUAGCCGCAGUUCCCACGAACUACAAUGAAAUUUAUCAAGGAAUUUCUGCCUAAUUUUGGAGAUCCUGUCAUUACCUUCUUGUAUAGUGCAUGACGAUUGUGAACUGGGUGUCGUGUCGUAUAUCCUGCUUGCAAUCAUAACCUAGUGUACUGCCUACAUAAAGGAUACAGGAUACAGGAACCGUUAUUAUAACCUUAUACGAUGCCAAUGUUGCUUCUGCUCGCCAAUAUGCUUCUGCUCGUAUUUGUGUGGCAAAUCGAUCUCAGAAUUACGUGCAGUUUAUUCAUUCGUGUGACAAAGUUUUGCUAGUGGACCAGCUCUUUUUGAUUGUUCUGCAACUCCAAUAUAGUUUGUCAAUGAAAACACGAGUGUGCUUAGAUGUUCGAUCAUGCUUCAAACUCACGCUCCCAGUGUAUGAUAGCAGAAACCGAAAUAGCAAACAGUUUCAGAUCCGUAUUUGACUUCUCCGGAAGCGAUUUUAAACGGUUGCAAAUGCGAUCGAAUAUGUGAUUUUGUCCAAUGCAUUUCCUAUAUUAGUGCUGCCAUUUUUAAUUUCAUUCUUACUCGACUUACUCUUAAAUCAAUUAAGAUAUUGAUUAUGUAUAGCAAUUUCGUCAUCGUGUUCUUCCCAAGUACUGACCGUCAUACGGUCACUUAACGUGCCACUUAUACCCUAUAGGAAUAAAAUUCAUAUAUAGUGUUAGUAAGUUAGUAAAUAAAAAUGAUUAAAAAACAUAUUUCAUUAUUUUGUUUUCAAAUUAAAAUUUAUUUUAAGUUAAAACAUUGUCACACCGUAUAAAUAAGAAUUUCAUAAGGCAGGGUUAUGAAAUUUCAUAAGGCAGGCUUAUGAAAUUUCAUAAGGAUAAUCAAUGAAAAUGUUAAGGCAACUUUAAGAUAAACAUAUGUCUCAUUAUGGGCAUAAUUCAUUCAAAGUUCAUUUUGUUCCAUAAGGCAACCUUAUGGUUUUCAAUCAAUUAUCUUGUGGCUAAUUUCCAUAAGGUAAGUUAAUGAACUUCGAAAGGUUUUUUUCGGCA